AUUGAACGCUGGCGGCAGGCCUAACACAUGCAAGUCGAGCGGAGCGGCGGACGGGUGAGGAAUGCCUAGGAAUCUGCCUGGUAGUGGGGGAUAAAGUCGGGAAACGGGCGCAAAUACCGCAUACUCUAAACGAAGCCUGGGUCGGUUUAGCUAGUGGGUGGGGUAAAGGCCUACCAAGGCGACGAUCCGAAACUGGCCUGAGAGGAUGAUCAGGCACACUGGAACUGAGACACGGUCCAGACUCCUACGGGAGGCAGCAGUGGGGAAUAUUGGACAAUGGGCGAAAGCCUGAUCCAGCCAUGCCGCGUGUGUGAAGAAGGUCUUCGGAUUGUAAAGCACUUUAAGUUGGGAGGCGUUACCAACAGAAUACGCGCCGGCUAACUACGUGCCAGCAGCCGCGGUAAUAC
rnacentral:rRNA from 1 species